CCUACGGGUGGCAGCAGUGGGGGAUAUUGCACAAUGGGGGAAACCCUGAUGCAGCGACGCCGCGUGGGUGAAGAAGUAUUUCGGUAUGUAAAGCCCUAUCAGCAGGGAAGAAAGAAGACGGUACCUGACUAAGAAGCCCCGGCUAACUACGUGCCAGCAGCCGCGGUAAUACGUAGGGGGCGAGCGUUAUCCGGAUUCACUGGGUGUAAAGGGAGCGUAGACGGCCGUGCAAGCCAGGAGUGAAAGCCCGGGGCCCAACCCCGGGACUGCUCUUGGAACUGUGCGGCUGGAGUGCGGGGGGGGCAGGCGGAAUUCCUGGUGUAGCGGUGAAAUGCGUAGAUAUCAGGAGGAACACCGGCGGCGAAGGCGGCCUGCUGGACCGCGACUGACGUUGAGGCUCGAAAGCGUGGGGAGCGAACAGGAUUAGAUACCCGGGUAGUC
rnacentral:rRNA from 1 species